UUUAGUUGGGCCAAAGGCUUGCAGCAGUUAAUAGCACAAAUUUUCGUCCGCAAAAUCUAAAAGAAAUCAAAAAAAAAACAAUCCAAAAUGAGUGAAGCCAAGAACUUGAUGACCACCUUCGGCAUUCUGGCCGUGCUUUUGUUCUUCCUUUGGAUCAUCUACGCCGUUUUGUAAAUGAGUACCUCAGAAAUGGGGGCAUAGAGUUAUGGAAGAGAAAACAACAACAUCAUCAACAACAACAGCAACAACAUGAAUGAAGCUAGGAGUUUGUUCACCACCUUCCUCAUCCUGGCAUUCUUGCUCUUCCUGCUCUAUGCCUUCUACGAAGCCGCUUUCUAAAUAUGUUCAUGUUUUUGGGAAUACUCUUAGUUCAAACGAUAUACUUACAUGUUGAAUUUCAAUUUCAAUUCCAACACAACAAUUCAUAAAUCAACACUUAUGCCUAGGAUUUGUAGAGCGUUACGCGUUUAAGCCGCUAGCAUUUAAUGGAUUUCUCUUAGUACCCUAAGUCAGAUGACGUCACAGCCGCAGGCGGAAAGCAGCUGCUCGGUUCGGAGGCUUGACAUCAACCAACGGCCUGCAACGGAGCGAGUGUAUGUGACGUGUGCUGCGCUUGAUUAAGCGAAUGUUUCGGUCCAUUUGGGUUAUCGAUAAAUGAUGUGAUCGAAAUGGCUCGCUGCGCCGUUUCAUCGUUGGCCUGGGAGCUUUGGCGUCAUCUGUUCUAAUCAUAAAUAUUAAUUUUGCAAUUUUCGUUUCGCAAUGGAAUUAAUCGAAUUUUGAAUUUACAAUUUAUAGACCAUAAUGUACAGUAUGAUAAAUGUGCAAUAGCAAGACAACAACAACAGCACAAUGCGCACAUAGAGAAAUUGUAUAUUUCAUUGUUUAACACUUUGCACACAUAAUAUCUAAGAUCUUUAUUUAAUAAUUGCAUUUUUCGUAAAUAACAACAACAAUACCAGCAACAAAUGCAUAACAAUAACAACCAAAUGCAGGAAUAAAAACAACAACAAAAACAA